GGGGGGAAAAGGCAGAUCUCCUUCGGGAGUGACGCUUGUGGAACGAGCGGCGGACGGGUGAGUAACACGUGGGCAACCUACCUGUAAGACUGGGAUAACUCCGGGAAACCGGGGCUAAUACCGGAUGAAACAAAGCGUCGCAUGACGCAAUGUUAAAAGGCGGCAUAUGCUGUCACUUACAGAUGGGCCCGCGGCGCAUUAGCUAGUUGGUGAGGUAAAGGCUCACCAAGGCAACGAUGCGUAGCCGACCUGAGAGGGUGAUCGGCCACACUGGGACUGAGACACGGCCCAGACUCCUACGGGAGGCAGCAGUAGGGAAUCUUCCGCAAUGGACGAAAGUCUGACGGAGCAACGCCGCGUGAGUGAUGAAGGUUUUCGGAUCGUAAAACUCUGUUGUUAGGGAAGAACAAGUGCCAUUCGAAUAGGUUGGCACCUUGACGGUACCUAACCAGAAAGCCCCGGCUAACUACGUGCCAGCAGCGCGGUAAUAAC
rnacentral:rRNA from 1 species